UAUUGUUAACCAGGUUUUCCGAAGGAAAAAACUGGUUAUUAGAUUGGCGAAUGCGGGCGGGCUGGCUGGCUGGCGGGCUGGCGGAAUAAGCUUGUCCGGGCCAUAACUAUGUCGUUCAUUGUCAGAUUUUAAAAUCAUUUGGCACAUUUGUUCACCAUCAUUGGACGGUGUGUCGCGCGAAAUAAUUUCGUCGAUAUCUCCAAGGUCAAGGUCACACUUUGAGUUCAAAGGUCAAAAA